ACCAAACUGCAUCUUAUAAACGAUAAUUAAUAAAAACAAUAUUAAAUCAAUAACCUAUUAAACACAAAACAUACAGUACUGAAAAGGAAUAAAUAAUAUUAUAAAGUAGUGAAUAUUCACGUACCUUGUGCAUUAUGGUUUUACAAGCCAAUCAAUUUAAAAUAUAUUCCCGAAUCCUACGCGAGCUGCUCCAGUAUAGCUAAGAGCUCACCACUAGUUGUAGCAUCAAUUUUGGAAAAUACUGUAGCAGAGGCUACAUACCAUGCGCGCUAGUAAAUUGCUGGUUUUCAGUAAAAAUUAUAAAUUAAAACAUGUAGAACCUCUACAAUGUAAGAUUAAAGAGGACAAGCCCUUUAAUCCCAAGCUAGUUUCCACCAACAUCAUUACCUAGGCCUAAAAACAGCCACUUUUACUACGUUACUGUAAUUAUUUUCCAAUAAAUAAUAAAUAUGCCACCUUAAACUGAAAUUUAAAAUAAACUUCGCUCUUAAAAUACUAUGUAAAAAUAAGUAUUAUAAAAUUACUCUAUAAAUACACCUAUCAAUGUAUGAAUAGCCCCCAAAACUCAUAAAGGAACUCGGCAAAUCUUAUUUCGACUGUUUAACAAAAACAUUGCUUUCUGAAUUUCUAAUAGAAGGUAAUUCCUGCCCAGUGAUAAUUUAAACGGCCGCGGUAUCCUAACCGUGCAAAGGUAGCAUAAUAAUUUGCCCAUUAAUUGUGGGCUAGUAUGAAAGGACUAACGAAAUAAAGACUGUCUCUAUGAGUCAUCUAAAAAUUAAUCUCUAACUGAAGAUUGUUAGAUACUGUCGAAGGACAAGAAGACCCUAUAGAGCUUUAUUAAAUAUUUUUAAGAAAAAUCUAAAAUUCGGUUGGGGCGACCAGGGAAAUAAGUAUCAUCCCUAAGAAAAAGAUUUAUUAAUCUCACAUCUGACCCUUAAUAAAGAUCAUAAAAUCAAGCUACCUUAGGGAUAACAGGCUAAUCUCACUAAAGAGUCCUUAUCAAUAGUGAGGUUUGGCACCUCGAUGUUGGCUUAGGGAAUCAAUACGGCGCAAAAGUCGUAUAAAGAUGGUUUGUUCAACCAAUAACACCCUACAUGAGCUGAGUUCAGACCGGCGUAAGCCAGGUUAGUUUCUAUCCUCGAUAACACAUCUAUUUAUAGUACGAAAGGACCUAAAUAAGUAUAAUAAUUAUAAAGAAAGAAUCUAUAUAACUUAAUAUUAAACAUCUAAAGGUAUAAACUAUA
rnacentral:rRNA from 1 species